AAGACUAUAGACCUGCGGAGUACCUGCGGAGGGAUCAUUAAUGAAUUUUAGGACGUUCUUUUUAGAAGUCCGACCAUUUCAUUUUCUUACACUGUGCACACACUUCUUUUUACACACACUUUUAACACAUUAGUAUAAGAAUGUAAUAGUCUCUUAAUUGAGCAUAAACAAAAAUAAAACUUUCAACAACGGAUCUCU
rnacentral:misc_RNA from 1 species